rnacentral:rRNA from 1 species
GUAGGUGGCAAGCGUUGUCCGGAAUUAUUGGGCGUAAAGCGCGCGCAGGCGGUCCUUUAAGUCUGAUGUGAAAGCCCACGGGCUCAACCGUGGAGGGUCAUUGGAAACUGGGGGACUUGAGUACAGAAGAGGAAAGCGGAAUUCCACGUGUAGCGGUGAAAUGCGUAGAGAUGUGGAGGAACACCAGUGGCGAAGGCGGCUUUCUGGUCUGUAACUGACGCUGAGGCGCGAAAGCGUGGGGAGCAAACAGGAUCAGAUACCCUGGUAGUCCACGCCGUAAACGAUGAGUGCUAAGUGUUAGGGGGUUUCCGCCCCUUAGUGCUGCAGCUAACGCAUUAAGCACUCCGCCUGGGGAGUACGGCCGCAAGGCUG